AACGUAGGGGGCGAGCGUUGUCCGGAAUUACUGGGCGUAAAGCGUGCGCAGGCGGUUUUGUAAGACAGGCGUGAAAUCCCCGGGCUCAACCUGGGAAUGGCGCUUGUGACUGCAAAGCUAGAGUGCGGCAGAGGGGGAUGGAAUUCCGCGUGUAGCAGUGAAAUGCGUAGAUAUGCGGAGGAACACCGAUGGCGAAGGCAAUCCCCUGGGCCUGCACUGACGCUCAUGCACGAAAGCGUGGGGAGCAAACAGG
rnacentral:rRNA from 1 species